UACGUAGGUGGCAAGCGUUAUCCGGAUUUACUGGGUGUAAAGGGUGUGUAGGCUGGGAAGCAAGUCAGAUGUGAAAGGUGUGGGCUCAACUCACAGACUGCGUCUGAAACUGUUUUUCUUGAGAGUCGGAGGGGUAAUCGGAAUUCCUGGUGUAGCGGUGAAAUGCGUAGAUAUCAGGAGGAACACCGGUGGCGAAGGCGGAUUACUGGACGACAACUGACGCUGAGACACGAAAGCGUGGGGAG
rnacentral:rRNA from 1 species